rnacentral:rRNA from 1 species
GACGAACGCUGGCGGCGUGCUUAACACAUGCAAGUCGAACGGUAAGGCCUUUCGGGGUACACGAGUGGCGAACGGGUGAGUAACACGUUGGUGAUCUGCCCUGCACUUCUGGAUAAGCCCGGGAAACUGGGUCUAAUACCGGAUAGGACUGCGCGGUGCAUGCCGUGUGGUGGAAAGAUUUAUCGGUGCAGGAUGGGCCCGCGGCCUAUCAGCUUGUUGGUGUAGUAAUGGCCUACCAAGGCGACGACGGGUAGCCGGCCUGAGAGGGCGACCGGCCACAAUGGGACUGAGGCACGACCCAGAGUCCGACGGGAGGCAGCAGUGGGGAAUAUUGCACAAUGGGAGCAAGCCUGAUGCAGCGAGGCCGCGUGAGGGAUGACGGCCUGCGGGUUGUAAACCUCUUUAGGCAGGGACGAAGCGUGAGUGACGGUACCUGCAGAAGAAGCACCGGCCAACUACGUG